UGAAAACCUGCACCAACCGGCUGCACACUCAACCAGCUAGGACUCUGCAAAAAAAAAAAAAGUCAGCUCCUUUAGCCACAGUCACAGAGCAGUGAGGUCAUAUGGUAAAGAGGCGGAAGCUGAUUGGUCCUCCAGUAGAGAUGCCACGGUCUUCUCCUUACUUAAGAGUUAGUGCCAGCCCUCGUCCUCUGUGCAUAGCCGUUCCGCAGCUCACACAGACACAGGGACACGCCAGAAGACGACCACCGCUUAGAACCAGAACUGGAGCAACCCGUCUGCCUUCCAGAGAGAGACACACCAAAAGCAGGCUAAGAGCUGGAGUUUUUGCCAAAAACAAGCACCAAGACCCAGAGAGACAUGAGAGCAGCUGCUCACUAACAGCUAGCGUUACGUUUGUUUACAGCAGAGAGCAGAAGGGAGGACAGACAUCUCACUCUGCUACUUUUUGCUGCAACCCUACUGCAGUGGACUCAUGGAGCAGUAGUGUCCGUUGUCCAACUAAGUAUUGAAAACACGCUUAGUAUUUUACAAAUUAUAAUUUUUUUUAUUUGAUGAACAUGGGCGCGGAUACGUGAAAAUUAACUAAAUGGGUUUUAUUUCUAUAAAAAAGCAAAAACGAGAGUAUGGGUGGUGGGCAAGUAAUCGAUGUUAUUUCCCAACACCGUGUAACAUCGGUAACAUUGACUAUUGCGGCAAGCCUACCCUCCAGUCCACCUUCCAAGCACUGAUUGGUGCUUGGAAGAUGGAACCUUAUAGCACUAAGUUUGAGAUUGAUUUUUGAGAUAAAACCUUUUCUUUUCUCAAAUUUAGGGCCAAUAAUACAGAAAACAAAAAAUAAACUGAUACAAAAUGGUGAUAACAUGUCAAAGAAUAGUUUCAUAUGAAUAACCCAUUUUUCACAAAAACGUCAGAUAGAAUCUUAUAAUUCAUGCUGUUUCCUUUUUUGUCCUCGCAGAGUUAACCCACUCCCUAGUGAGAGAAAACAAACGAUUUUCUAUUAGUUCUCAAGAUUCAAACGGUGAGUGUGACUCACCAUUGGCUUACACAACACAAACCUUAGUUCUCUAAGCUCUCUUCUCUCCUUCUGUCACUCCUCUAUAUCUUUCUCCAUUUUCUUCACCAUCAUGCAAAGUCUCAAGGGUAGACUGAAUGUCCUCUUCCAUUUGGCUGCUAUUUUGGUCUCCAUGUCAACAAGAUAUGAGUCACCACACCCUCCAAAAACGUGGACACAAUCACUAAAACAUGUUACUAUUAAUAAAGCAAUCGACCCAUUCAGUUACUGCUAACACACUACUGUGCGUCAGUCAUCCUCAAGUUGAAUAGCUGGGAUAAUGAUGUGAGGAUGAAUAAAAGUACAUGAACAUGAAAACAAAGCAUCGCACUGUAAGCAUUUUCUUGUAAAGGAACCGUUUAAAGAUUCUGACUCCUCUGAGCCUAUUUUUAUAUGCUGCUGUUAAAGCACUUUCAGCAAACAAAAUAUAGAGACUCAAUCUGUGUGUGUGUGUGUGUGUGUGUGUGUGUGUGUGAUUGUGUGAGACUUCCUGGCAGCAUAAAUAUAUAGAUUACGUCUACAUUACGUGUACAGUAUUUGCCUGGAAAAGAUUCAUGUUUUCUAAAAUAGUGACAUACAUGGUAUUUCUAUCUAUCUAUCUUGAAAUUAGUCUGACAGGCAAGAGGCAAGAGGCAGUCCAGCCAAAUUUAAUUUGCUAUAAUCAAGAUAAUUAAACAUUGUUUGACUAAUCUAAUUUGAUAUUAUUCAUCUACUAAUAACUAGCUUGUCAAUUUAUGAUAACAUUUCU